ACUAAGCGUACACGGUGGAUGCCCUGGCAGUCAGAGGCGAUGAAGGACGUGCUAAUCUGCGAUAAGCGUCGGUAAGGUGAUAUGAACCGUUAUAACCGGCGAUUUCCGAAUGGGGAAACCCAGUGUGAUUCGUCACACUAUCAUUAACUGAAUCCAUAGGUUAAUGAGGCGAACCGGGGGAACUGAAACAUCUAAGUACCCCGAGGAAAAGAAAUCAACCGAGAUUCCCCCAGUAGCGGCGAGCGAACGGGGAGCAGCCCAGAGCCUGAAUCAGUGUGUGUGUUAGUGGAAGCGUCUGGAAAGGCGCGCGAUACAGGGUGACAGCCCCGUACACAAAAAUACACAUACUGUGAGCUCGAUGAGUAGGGCGGGACACGUGGUAUCCUGUCUGAAUAUGGGGGGACCAUCCUCCAAGGCUAAAUACUCCUGACUGACCGAUAGUGAACCAGUACCGUGAGGGAAAGGCGAAAAGAACCCCGGCGAGGGGAGUGAAAAAGAACCUGAAACCGUGUACGUACAAGCAGUGGGAGCACGCUUAGGCGUGUGACUGCGUACCUUUUGUAUAAUGGGUCAGCGACUUAUAUUCUGUAGCAAGGUUAACCGAAUAGGGGAGCCGAAGGGAAACCGAGUCUUAACUGGGCGUUAAGUUGCAGGGUAUAGACCCGAAACCCGGUGAUCUAGCCAUGGGCAGGUUGAAGGUUGGGUAACACUAACUGGAGGACCGAACCGACUAAUGUUGAAAAAUUAGCGGAUGACUUGUGGCUGGGGGUGAAAGGCCAAUCAAACCGGGAGAUAGCUGGUUCUCCCCGAAAGCUAUUUAGGUAGCGCCUCGUGAAUUCAUCUCCGGGGGUAGAGCACUGUUUCGGCAAGGGGGUCAUCCCGACUUACCAACCCGAUGCAAACUGCGAAUACCGGAGAAUGUUAUCACGGGAGACACACGGCGGGUGCUAACGUCCGUCGUGAAGAGGGAAACAACCCAGACCGCCAGCUAAGGUCCCAAAGUCAUGGUUAAGUGGGAAACGAUGUGGGAAGGCCCAGACAGCCAGGAUGUUGGCUUAGAAGCAGCCAUCAUUUAAAGAAAGCGUAAUAGCUCACUGGUCGAGUCGGCCUGCGCGGAAGAUGUAACGGGGCUAAACCAUGCACCGAAGCUGCGGCAGCGACACUAUGUGUUGUUGGGUAGGGGAGCGUUCUGUAAGCCUGUGAAGGUGUACUGUGAGGUAUGCUGGAGGUAUCAGAAGUGCGAAUGCUGACAUAAGUAACGAUAAAGCGGGUGAAAAGCCCGCUCGCCGGAAGACCAAGGGUUCCUGUCCAACGUUAAUCGGGGCAGGGUGAGUCGACCCCUAAGGCGAGGCCGAAAGGCGUAGUCGAUGGGAAACAGGUUAAUAUUCCUGUACUUGGUGUUACUGCGAAGGGGGGACGGAGAAGGCUAUGUUGGCCGGGCGACGGUUGUCCCGGUUUAAGCGUGUAGGCUGGUUUUCCAGGCAAAUCCGGAAAAUCAAGGCUGAGGCGUGAUGACGAGGCACUACGGUGCUGAAGCAACAAAUGCCCUGCUUCCAGGAAAAGCCUCUAAGCAUCAGGUAACAUCAAAUCGUACCCCAAACCGACACAGGUGGUCAGGUAGAGAAUACCAAGGCGCUUGAGAGAACUCGGGUGAAGGAACUAGGCAAAAUGGUGCCGUAACUUCGGGAGAAGGCACGCUGAUAUGUAGGUGAAGUCCCUCGCGGAUGGAGCUGAAAUCAGUCGAAGAUACCAGCUGGCUGCAACUGUUUAUUAAAAACACAGCACUGUGCAAACACGAAAGUGGACGUAUACGGUGUGACGCCUGCCCGGUGCCGGAAGGUUAAUUGAUGGGGUCAGCGCAAGCGAAGCUCUUGAUCGAAGCCCCGGUAAACGGCGGCCGUAACUAUAACGGUCCUAAGGUAGCGAAAUUCCUUGUCGGGUAAGUUCCGACCUGCACGAAUGGCGUAAUGAUGGCCAGGCUGUCUCCACCCGAGACUCAGUGAAAUUGAACUCGCUGUGAAGAUGCAGUGUACCCGCGGCAAGACGGAAAGACCCCGUGAACCUUUACUAUAGCUUGACACUGAACAUUGAGCCUUGAUGUGUAGGAUAGGUGGGAGGCUUGGAAGUGUGGACGCCAGUCUGCAUGGAGCCGACCUUGAAAUACCACCCUUUAAUGUUUGAUGUUCUAACGUUGACCCGUAAUCCGGGUUGCGGACAGUGUCUGGUGGGUAGUUUGACUGGGGCGGUCUCCUCCUAAAGAGUAACGGAGGAGCACGAAGGUUGGCUAAUCCUGGUCGGACAUCAGGAGGUUAGUGCAAUGGCAUAAGCCAGCUUGACUGCGAGCGUGACGGCGCGAGCAGGUGCGAAAGCAGGUCAUAGUGAUCCGGUGGUUCUGAAUGGAAGGGCCAUCGCUCAACGGAUAAAAGGUACUCCGGGGAUAACAGGCUGAUACCGCCCAAGAGUUCAUAUCGACGGCGGUGUUUGGCACCUCGAUGUCGGCUCAUCACAUCCUGGGGCUGAAGUAGGUCCCAAGGGUAUGGCUGUUCGCCAUUUAAAGUGGUACGCGAGCUGGGUUUAGAACGUCGUGAGACAGUUCGGUCCCUAUCUGCCGUGGGCGCUGGAGAACUGAGGGGGGCUGCUCCUAGUACGAGAGGACCGGAGUGGACGCAUCACUGGUGUUCGGGUUGUCAUGCCAAUGGCACUGCCCGGUAGCUAAAUGCGGAAGAGAUAAGUGCUGAAAGCAUCUAAGCACGAAACUUGCCCCGAGAUGAGUUCUCCCUGACUCCUUGAGAGUCCUGAAGGAACGUUGAAGACGACGACGUUGAUAGGCCGGGUGUGUAAGCGCAGCGAUGCGUUGAGCUAACCGGUACUAAUGAACCGUGAGGCUUAACC
rnacentral:rRNA from 1 species